ACUCCUACGGGAGGCAGCAGUGGGGAAUAUUGCACAAUGGGCGCAAGCCUGAUGCAGCCAUGCCGCGUGUGUGAAGAAGGCCUUCGGGUUGUAAAGCACUUUCAGUUGUGAGGAAGGUGGUGUCGUUAAUAGCGGCAUCAUUUGACGUUAGCAACAGAAGAAGCACCGGCUAACUCCGUGCCAGCAGCCGCGGUAAUACGGAGGGUGCGAGCGUUAAUCGGAAUUACUGGGCGUAAAGCGCAUGCAGGUGGUUUGUUAAGUCAGAUGUGAAAGCCCGGGGCUCAACCUCGGAACUGCAUUUGAAACUGGCAGACUAGAGUACUGUAGAGGGGGGUAGAAUUUCAGGUGUAGCGGUGAAAUGCGUAGAGAUCUGAAGGAAUACCAGUGGCGAAGGCGGCCCCCUGGACAAAGACUGACGCUCAGAUGCGAAAGCGU
rnacentral:rRNA from 1 species